AAAACCCUGAGGGUUAAAUAUAUACAUGGAUCAAGGAUCUCUAUAUUAUGACUGUAGUUAUGUCUAAAUACUGAAAGUUAUGCCCUCGAUGACAGAUUUAAUUAGUAGAUGUUUAUCAGCUGAGAUUGAGGAUGGUGAGAACUGCCUGAGGUCAGCAGAAUUGCACAUCUGAAAGAUAUUCACAAAAGUGAAUGAGUUCUUUACCCAUAAGAAGCAAGGAAGAGGAUGGAAAUUAGUGUCAUUUGUUUCUACCUACCAAAGUGGUUAAAGGGAGCAAGGAAACUGAGAAGUGUCUUUACUGGUCUUGUCCAGGGAGCCCUUAUGAUAGCUGAUUUCUUUGAUGUUUUUACUCAGAAACAUCAGUUAGCCAUAAAAAGAAUAAAUGGAUGACAAAGUCAGUUAGCAAUACAGCUUCCAGUGUUAAGCUAAACCACUUGUAAGAGCAGUGUUAUCUCCCCAUCAGAAGCAGCUUGGGCAGACAUACAACAAAUCAAAUUUUCAAACAAAUGUCAAAGCCUGUGUUUGAAUGGCAGAGGCUGUGUAAGGCCGGUGGAGAUCUAUUAUUUCAUCUGUAUCUCUAACACAGAAAGCACACUGAAAAUAAGCAGAAGAGCUAAACUUCUGGAUUCUGGUUCUUGAAGUAUGUAUUUGAGGUUACUCCAUUUAAAUUUCUUUCAGCUGAGACGUUCAUGCACAGCAGAGGAGCAAUUUCUUCUAUGUCCCACUCAACACCAGUAAGAUCACCUGAUAAAGAAAGGUAUCUGAAGCCCAGUUCUCCCACAGAAACAUCUAAGAUUCUGUGUACUGCCUGGCCUGAGAUCCCUGCUAGCCAAGCCUCAGGUCAGGAGAACAAUUAUUUAUUUUUUUUAUGUCACUGAUAUACUGUGGUGGGUCUGGGAAAAAUCAGUGUCCUCAAUGUGAUUUGUUAUGUUGCAGACUAAUGUUAAUGUGAACGUGACACACAGUGAAGACAUCCAGCCUAUUGCAUGUAUUCCAAAUUAACCUGUGGACUCCCUGUUAAUUCUGUUGGAUGUAUCUGGAGGUACAGCUCUGCUCUGGGGAUGCCUGCCAUGACCACUGAUCACAGAAGGAGCCUGAUCCUCUUUCAGAGGAGAUGUCCAACUGUUUCAUCCACAUAGGCUAGUGGAAAUUGAAAUUUGUAUUAGCAGUGGAGUUAAUGGGCACCCCUUAAAAUAAAAUAUGCAACGAGCGUGUGGGUUUCCUGUGC
rnacentral:lncRNA from 1 species